UGUUGCAUUCCGGCUGUCGUUAAGUAAAGCGCGAGUGUUACCGCCUGCCAUGAGCCGAGCGAGAGAUAGCGAGAGAGACACAGAGCGAGAGAGAGAGCGAGAGAGCGAGAAGCUGCGUCAGGCGAGCAGAAUAUCGAUAAAUUUUUCUGCGUCGUUGAAUCGUCAUUCGUUUCGCGUAAUUCCGCCGUAAUUUUGUUUCGUCGGGAGUGCCGUUAAUGCCGGAAGUGCCGUGAUGGUUUUGCAUGAAACGCGUACGAAACGCCGUAUUUUAAACGAUGCAUUUUCGCCAAAUGCUACGAUAAAUAUCAGGACACGAUCGAACCGCUUUCAAGGGGGGCUUUCUUCUCGACUUUUCGGCUCGGGGGAGGCGAGGAUCGGUUUUUAUCAUGGGAGGGGCCCUUCAGUGUCAGACAUGCCAACAUGUGAUGCAUGAUGCAUGAUUCAUGUUACUUUUUGUAUGCUCAAAAAAGCAUGCUGUCACUACUGCAUGAUAGUAACAUUUAAAUCAUAUGAUCCACGGCAUAGAAGUCAGCAUGUUUUGACUUGAGUUCCGUUGGUAUUGGCACCGAAAUGCUACUGAUAUCCGGUUGACUCCAUGACUAAUCGCACUUUAUUUCCUUCGAGCUUAUGCCUUCUGUUUUGAGAUAAUCGUGUCCCAAUUGAUAAAUGCAGUCGUCUUAAAAGCGGACGUAACUCGCGCGUAACGUUGCAACUUGGGCAGUUCGGUUCGAUUCGCCUGCGGGAGUGCCGUUUAAAGUGUCGCGCGAUUUUCGGCACGCGCGCUAACAAUGCGCGCAUCGCGAACGCGUGUGAGUUCGAAAGUCCGCUGGGAGCAGAAGGAGGAGGAGGAGGAGGGAGGGAGGGACGGCAUCGGGCGGUAGCAGAACGACGAUACGAUGUGACAUUGGCUGAUGGCAGAAAAUACAUUGACACAAUUGCCGUUUAUCUUUGGAUUUGCCUAUCAACGGCUGUGUGAUAGACAAUUUGCAAUGAAAGGAAUGAGACGAGCAACAACAUAGCGGUAAGUAGUUGUGAAGGCGGGAAGUCAUCGAAGGAGCUCCGGCAGGGCGAGAAGCAGCGAGGGGAAAACGUCGCGCACGGAAGGAGGAGCAGAGAAUGCCAGCAGGGUGCACGUGACGAACGGGACUUCCCUCCAGAUUCGCACGGUAAGAAUCACAACUAAUAUGGAUCGGGGCUUGCCGAGCAAUUGUCUGUCAACAAACCGUCAUACACGUGAGUACAACGGACGAGCCCCGACGGGGAAAACGAUUCGGCGGCAGCUCCCUCGUUACUCGCGUGCACAGACUCAAAGAAACUCCCACGACGCGCGCGAGUCCACGUCAGCCACGAAGAAAGGUCUUGCUAGGACGAUCCAGCCAAAGCAAUAAUGAGUCGAGAUUUACAAGAUUAAAGAAGUACAAAAAGCGGAAUAAUUUACACACGAAAACUUGGGCUUGAAUUGCGUUUUGGAUGUGAACGCGGUUGUUAAAAAUGAAAAUUUCAAGAAAUUGUUUGAGAC